rnacentral:lncRNA from 1 species
AAGGAUUCUCCAAGUUCCCAACAUUGAGAACCUCUAAUUUUUCUACACCAAGGAAAGACUUGAAGAAGAGAUGAGUGACCUUGGAGGAUGAGAGAUUGCUAGCUAAUCUCCUCCAAGGGGGCCGGCGUCUUAGAGAGAAAGGGAGAGACAUUGUGUUCUCAUAUUUUCUCUAAAAGAAACCCUAAGGAUGAAAUGGCUAUAAAGUUGCCUUUAUACCACCUCACAAUCGAGUGGCAAACUUGCAAUUAAAGCAAGUUCACUACCCUCCUCUAUUUGACCGGCCUUAAGGGUUUAUUGGGCUUUCAAGCUCUUUGUUUAUUCAAGUUAUCAUACAAGUUGAAUUAAUGGGCUUGACAUUCAAAUCCCAUUGGGCCUUGCAGGCCAAAACUAACCCGAGGUCUUUAACGAACUUUAUUCAAUUGAUUAAUUAACAUAUCAAUUAAUCCUUGCCAUAAAUAAUUAAACCAUUUAAUUAUCUUUACUCAUCUCAGUUGUUUCUUCAAUCUCUACCUUACACAGUGUACGAUCCAUUAGGUUCCUUUUAGCGAGGCAGUGGGCGAUCGGAACUCUUUCAAAUCGAUUGUGAAUUGAAACUUACUUUCAAUUCUCCCUUUAGUGAUUAUACACGUUUAGGGCUUCCACAAACCAUGAGUGACACCUAGCAGUAUGUCAUGGUUACCCAAGCUAAUCAGAAGAGGUGGAGAACCUAUUCAGUUUAGGAUUACAAUGCCAUACGGUCUUUCUCUAAUACAAUACUCUUGACCACAUUGUUUGGUUUAAUAGUUUAAUCAUGUCUACUAUCCAAUGUGAUUCAUUUACUUAUAUGAUUACCUUGAAUGUGAUUUGGAACGACUUCCUAAAUCUCAUUCAUACUCUGGCCAGAGAUUCUUAAUCAUAUCAUAGAGUAUUCUCCCUCAAAAGGUUUGAAGGUUAGAGAUCCCUUGUUGCGCAUUCACUUGCCUCCAUGGCUAAGUGACUUAACCCCAACUAUGCCGUGGACACCUUCUGACAAAGUGACUUUGACAUAGUCAAAGAUCAAGGACCUAACCACAAGACAACUAUGAUGCCUCAGGUCAAAAGACUACUUUGCAUUAUCCCAACCAUGAGUUCUCAUAUGACAUGAGUAUGAGAACUCCUCGUUGAUCGUGUUCAGUGGACUUAUUCUCUAUUGAGCACCUACAUGCUUGUCUUGGUGUCAAUCACAACAAUGACGCAAGAUCAGUCACUCUCUCUGAGAGAAGACACAGCACGUACUGAUCUUAACGGACUGUCAAUGCCCAAUUAGUAAUCCUAUGAUCAAGAACGUUUAGGAUAUGUAUACGAAAGAGAAUGGUCUCAUGAAUCUAACUUCUUUAAAUUACAUUCUCCUAAUUACAUAUUCCUUGGACUUAUCGUUUAAGCAUAUAACAUUUAUAUGAGACGGCUUAAAACAAUAAUCUUUGCCCUUGAUAUUAAACUAGAUUAGUUUAACAUGUGAAAUGUCCGUAAAGUAUCAUCAUAUGAUUGGUUUUAGGGCACAUUUCCAACAAUCUCCCACUUGCACUAGAGCCAAUCAGCUUGGUCAUCAAUGAUGAUACCUCUUCUGUAGUCAUUUCAAAAAUGGCUGAGUAGUAGGCCUAGGCAAUGGAUAUCUAUAUGUUAUCCAUAAAAGCAACCUUGAGAAUAACGACGUCACCAUUAUACAUGAUUCUCAAUCAUGUGGUUCAGUCUCAAAUUUGAGUUCGGAUCUUGAUGAGACCGUGAUUCCCUGGCUUGAGCUAUCGCCCCAUUAGUGUCGUAGUGUCGGUACACUGGAGACACUUUCUGGUUGGAACCGAAUAGAGAGUUCAUAAAUGAACUUUCCCAUCCAAACAACAUUGUUGUAAGCUUCUAUAUGGCAAUAUAUUUUGCAUUCAUAAUGGAACACACUAAAGUCAUUACUUUUAAUGUUUCCAUCCAAAUAUCUCUUUAGUCAUAAUAAAGAGAUAUCUGAUUAUCUCUUCCUUCAUAAUGAAGAAACAUCCAAUAAUGGAUUAGAUUCAUAAUCUAAUACAUUUACGCCUCCAUUACGUUACUCUAAUUCUUCCUCAUUCUUGAGGAAUCCAUCCUUUAUUAUUUCUCAAAUACUUAAGGAUUCACUUGACAGUUGCCAUGGUUCUGAUCCUGGGCUUGCAUUGAUAUCGUCUUGUACCGAUCUUGGUACAACUCAUAUCAACGUUUUUCAUACAAUAUGAAAUACGUAAAUCACCUUUCUGCGUAUGCAUAAAGGAUUCUAUUUACGCAUUAUUUCUUUGGGAAUCAAAGGGUACGUUCCCUU